rnacentral:rRNA from 3 species
GCGACCCCAGGUCAGGCGGGAUCACCCGCUGAAUUUAA